ACCUGUGACCAAGCCUCUUUGUCAAAGACUGAUCUCGUCAGAUCUCGAAAACUAAGCAGGGCUGGUUAGUACUUGGAUGGGAGACCACUGGCAAUAGCAGAUGCCCCAGGUG
rnacentral:rRNA from 1 species